rnacentral:rRNA from 1 species
GGAAACGGUAGCUAAAACCGCAUAACGUCGCAAGACCAAAGAGGGGGACCUUCGGGCCUCUUGCCAUCAGAUGUGCCCAGAUGGGAUUAGCUAGUAGGUGGGGUAAUGGCUCACCUAGGCGACGAUCCCUAGCUGGUCUGAGAGGAUGACCAGCCACACUGGAACUGAGACACGGUCCAGACUCCUACGGGAGGCAGCAGUGGGGAAUAUUGCACAAUGGGCGCAAGCCUGAUGCAGCCAUGCCGCGUGUGUGAAGAAGGCCUUCGGGUUGUAAAGCACUUUCAGCGAGGAGGAAGGUGGUGAACUUAAUACGUUCAUCAAUUGACGUUACUCGCAGAAGAAGCACCGGCUAACUCCGUGCCAGCAGCCGCGGUAAUACGGAGGGUGCAAGCGUUAAUCGGAAUUACUGGGCGUAAAGCGCACGCAGGCGGUUUG